rnacentral:rRNA from 1 species
AAACUGCGAAUGGCUCAUUAAAUCAGUUAUCGUUUAUUUGAUAGUACCUUACUACAUGGAUAACCGUGGUAAUUCUAGAGCUAAUACAUGCUAAAAAUCCCAACUUCGGAAGGGAUGUAUUUAUUAGAUAAAAAACCAAUGCCCUCCGGGGCUCCUUGGUGAUUCAUAAUAACUUCUCAGAUCGCAUGGCCUUGCGCCGGCGACGGUUCAUUCAAAUUUCUGCCCUAUCAACUUUCGAUGGUAAGGUAUUGGCUUACCAUGGUUUCAACGGGUAACGGGGAAUUAGGGUUCGAUUCCGGAGAGGGAGCCUGAGAAACGGCUACCACAUCCAAGGAAGGCAGCAGGCGCGCAAAUUACCCAAUCCCGAUACGGGGAGGUAGUGACAAUAAAUACUGAUACAGGGCUCUUUAGGGUCUUGUAAUUGGAAUGAGUACAAUUUAAACCUCUUAACGAGGAACAAUUGGAGGGCAAGUCUGGUGCCAGCAGCCGCGGUAAUUCCAGCUCCAAUAGCGUAUAUUAAAGUUGUUGCAGUUAAAAGCUCGUAGUUGAACCUUUGGCCUGGCUGGCGGGUCCGCCUCACCGCGUGCACUCGUCCGGCCGGGCCUUUUCUUCUAGAGAACCGCAUGCCCUUCACUGGGUGUGUUGGGGACUAGGACUUUUACUUUGAAAAAUUAGAGUGUUCAAAGCAGCCUUUGCUCGAAUACGUUAGCAUGGAAUAUAGAAAUAGACGUGC